AUUGAACGCUGGCGGCACGCUUAACACAUGCAAGUCGAACGGCAGCGGAGGAGAGCUUGCUCUCCUGCCGGCGAGUGGCGAACGGGUGAGUAACGCGUAGGGAUCUGCCUGUUAGAGGGGGAUAAGCCGGGGAAACUCGGACUAAUACCGCAUACGCUCUGAGGAGGAAAGGACGGGACUGUGAGAGCAGCCGUGCGCUAACAGAUGAACCUGCGUUAGAUUAGCUAGUUGGUAGGGUAAAGGCCUACCAAGGCGACGAUCUAUAGCUGGUCUGAGAGGAUGACCAGCCACACUUGAACUGAGAUACGGACCAGACUCCUACGGGAGGCAGCAGUGGGGAAUAUUGGACAAUGGGGGGAACCCUGAUCCAGCGAUGCCGCGUGUGUGAAGAAGGCCUGAGGGUUGUAAAGCACUUUAGUUGGGGUGGAAAGGCUCUUGCCUAAUAGGUAAGAGAAAAGACGUUACCCAAAGAAUAAGCACCGGCUAACCCUGUGCCAGCAGCCGCAGUAA
rnacentral:rRNA from 1 species